rnacentral:rRNA from 1 species
CCUACGGGCGGCAGCAGUCCAGAAUUAUUCACAAUGGGGGAAACCCUGAUGGUGCGACGCCGCGUGGGGGAAUGAAGGUCUUCGGAUUGUAAGCCCCUGUCAUGUGGGAGCAAAUUAAAAAGAUAGUACCACAAGAGGAAGAGACGGCUAACUCUGUGCCAGCAGCCGCGGUAAUACAGAGGUCUCAAGCGUUGUUCGGAAUCACUGGGCGUAACGCGUGCGUAGGCUGUUUCGUAAGUCGUGUGUGAAAGGCGCGGGCUCAACCCGCGGACGGCACAUGAUACUGCGAGACUAGAGUAAUGGAGGGGGAACCGGAAUUCUCGGUGUAGCAGUGAAAUGCGUAGAUAUCGAGAGGAACACUCGUGGCGAAGGUGGGUUCCUGGACAUUAACUGACGCUGAGGCACGAAGGCCAGGGGAGCGAAAGGGAUUAGAUACCCGUGUAGUC